rnacentral:miRNA from 1 species
UCUCAUGCCUUUGCCCACGAA